ensembl:lncRNA
CGGCGACAGAUGAUUACAGUACAUUAGAUAUAAAACACUUAUAAAUACAUUAAAUAUACAUAAAACAAUGUGUUCAUAUGUUUUUUUUAUAGAAAGACUUCAUGCAAUUAACUGGAUCGACGCUUGGAAGGCUGAAAUUAGCGCGUUUUUAGAAUUUGACAAGACACGUGAGAGACCGGACGUGUGAGGAGCGAAAAUCGUUCCAGUGUGGGCCCCUACCACACCAAUGACGCCAAUCUACACCACAACACCCUGUGGAUUGCAUCCCUGGAGGAUGGAGCAAGCACAGUACUCCAAGCACCAUGUAGAGGAUUGCUACAUAGGUAAAGUGUGGGUUUAUUCCCUUAACCCAGAUGCUUAACUUAUUAAAGCAUGUUGCUUCCAAUUUUAUUUUUCAAUUUCAAUUUAUUUUUAAGGGCAAGAAGGCAGAGGUAGGGGGAAGUUUUAGCACAUGAAAGUAAGAACAUUUUGGCGGACACUGCGAUUUGAGUUCUGAUUGUAAAAUAACAAUCAUAAUCAGAACAUUUGGAGAACAUCAAGCGGCUGACUUAAGAGAAGGUCGAGCUGAGGGCACAGCUGGCUCUACAAUCAGGUAAAAACAAGACUAUAGUUGCACUAGCAUGUUGUCUUCAUGAAACAUUUCAUUCGUCUUGAAUGUCAUGCAAUUCUCAAAAUCAUGUCAGACCAUUUAAGUACAAUAUCUGUUUACUGUAUUACAGGAGCCAUAAGGAAGAAUCCUUCCAACCGGGAUGCCACUGAUGAGGCUGUCCAGAACCAGGUCCCCAGGUACCAGAAAGGCAGCUGACCGUGCAGGUGGUAGAAGACGUUGCAACAGUACAAGGGACCUGGCGUGAAUAUCAAUGACAUCUCCAGCAGAACCA